AUUGAACGCUGGCGGCAGGCCUAACACAUGCAAGUCGAGCGAGCGGCGGACGGGUGAGUAAUGUAUGGGGACUGCCCGAUAGCGGGGGAUAACUACUGGAAACGGUAGCUAAUACCGCAUACUAUCGGAUAACCCAUAUGGGAUUAGCUAGUCGGUGAGGUAAUGGCUCACAUAGGCGACGAUCCCUAGCUGGUCUGAGAGGAGGAUCAGCAACACUGGGACUGAGACACGGCCCAGACUCCUACGGAGGCAGCAGUGGGGAAUAUUGCACAAUGGGCGAAAGCCUGAUGCAGCAAUGCCGCGGGUAUGAAGAAGGCCCUAGGGUUGUAAAGUACUUUCAGUAGGGAGGCGUUACCGACAGAAGAAGCAACGGCUAACUCCGUGCCAGCCGCCGCGGUAAUAC
rnacentral:rRNA from 1 species